GCCGGUGUAGCUCAGCGGUAGAGCAGGGGACUCAUAAGCCCUUGGUCGGUGGUUCGAAUCCGCCCACCGGCACCA
rnacentral:tRNA from 1 species